rnacentral:rRNA from 1 species
GACAGAGGGUGCAAACGUUGCUCGGAAUCACUGGGCGUAAAGAGCGUGUAGGCGGCCGCACAGGUCCGUUGUGAAAACUGGAGGCUUAACCUCCAGACGUCGACGGAAACCGUGUGGCUAGAGUCCGGAAGAGGAGAGUGGAAUUCCUGGUGUAGCGGUGAAAUGCGCAGAUAUCAGGAAGAACACCAAUGGCGAAGGCAGCUCUCUGGGACGGUACUGACGCUGAGACGCGAAAGCGUGGGGAGCGAACAGG